GUAACGACGAGACUUCAGGAAGUCAAUGCACCCAUCUGUUGCUUGCCAAGAAAUAGUUACAGCACAUAAUUCCCCCUAAAACUCCAACUGUCCAGAUCUGCCAACGCCUGCUCACAUCGGGCCUGCCUGACAGGUGAUCAACAUCAGGAGUACAUCCAGUGAGCCAAUCAGAGCUGACCUAAAUGCACCAAUCAGAGGGAGUGCAGCAGGACAAAGGAUGGAGAACACACACAACCAACUACACCAGCAAACACCUGCCCAGGACAAUCUAUCUCACACACACAGUACAUCAAAGCACCUGCCAAGGUUACACACACACACACUGCUGAACAGAGUGCUCUCACACACAGACUUUGGUCUUGCGCAGCAAUAACCAUCAGUUCAGUUCAAUAAAUCUUUAUUGUCCCUACAAGCUAUGACUUUGCAUCUUCAGGAGGACAUGAGAUGGAGGAGUGUGAGGAGGAAAGAGAAGAGCAAAACACAGAAUACGUGGAUCAUAAAAUAAAAAACGUUUUAAAGGAGAUCAACUCAUCACAGA